CUGGAUUGAGGCAUAACCAUUUCUAGAAAGAGAUUCCUUCUAGUAAAGCGUAAACUGCCCUUCAAUGGAUCAAUAUGGAUCUUCCCUGUGCCUGUCGUUGCCUCUCUCCCUGGGUGUCGUUGCCUCUUCCCCGUGCCUGUCGUUGCCUCUCUCCUCCCUGGGUGUCGUUGCCUCUCUCCUCCCUGGGUGUCGUUGCCUCUUCCCUGUGCCUGUCGUUGCCUCUCUCCUCCCUGCGUGUCGUUGCCUCUCUCCUCCCUGGGUGUCCUUGCCUCUCCCCACGUGCAUGUUGUUGCCUCUUCCUUUGUUGCCUCUCUCCUCCCUGGGUGUCGUUGCCUCUCUCCUCCCUGCGUGUCGUUGCCUCUUCCCUGUGCCUGUCGUUGCCUCUCCCCACGUGCGUGUUGUUGCCUCUCUCCUCCCUGGGUGUCCUUGCCUCUCCCCACGUGCAUGUUGUUGCCUCUUCCUUUGUUGCCUCUCUCCUCCCUGGGUGUCGUUGUUGCCUCUCCCCACCCUGCUUCUCGUUGCCUCUCCCCUCAGCACAGAGGAAAGGGUCCCCAAAUUAUGCAAGAACAGACAAAGUCAAUACUACAAGACCCCUUAGAUUGCUGUGGUGAUAAACCAUAAGAGGAGCGCCUUAAGGAGACGCCAAGUAUAUCUGCACUCUGCAGAAACAUGGACCAGGAAAGGGCUGAGUUGGCAAACGCCACACGCUCCACGCGAAACUUUGUGGUCAUCCAGCAGUUGUUAUGGCUCUGAAGCAGGAAUGACAACAUGAAUGAUGCUCAGAAGUAAUUAAUAGAAUGCAGAGACCCCCAAAAUGAAAUAGAAGACAAAACGUACUUAUCUCUUAGUUCAAACUAAAGGGAAUGUUCUUUUUACCCCAUCUAUGGGACUCCCAGCGGCCUGGGUUGUGGUUCGAGAGACGCUAAUUAGUAUGAUCUAAGCUGGAUGCGUGCAAAGUUUGCACUUUCGGAGGGUGGAUCAAGCUGUCGAAGGUCUGAAAGAAAACAUAUAAAAGUCACUGCCCAGAAGGUCUUCUUAACAGUGUCAUUCACCAGCUCUUGUCUCCGGAAUAUCUGCUCUUCCUACUCUAGCUGCUUUCUGGACUGGAACGUCAACUAUCAACUUUGGAGUGAUGGAUUCAUGGCCAUGGAUAAUAGUCUGUCCUGUUCCUGUUCUUGUUCCUCUUCAUAUUCCUUUGCCCUGGAGACCACGCAGGCAUCCUCCCCUGUCUGUUGGAAUCCCCAUAUCGAUUUUGGAUGCUGUCAGACACCCAUACCUCCUGAGCAACAACCCUGCCCAGAGAUGUGAAGGGUUGUCAGGCCCUAGCUUUCCUUAUGCUUUAUCUGAAAUUCAUUUCCCACCCCUGAUGCAACCAAACUCAUCUGUUUACAAUCCCAGCACAAGCUCACAUCUCCUCGGGUGACAGCUGUGCAGGAUGAGCUGGCCCCUUCAUUGAAUGGGAACAUGAUCAUCACAGGAAUGGAAUGAAAUGGUACCCGAAUUGCACAAAAUGGAUUCACAGCUGAUGAUUGUAUGGGUGUUUGUGCCAGAAAUGUUGAGCCUCCCCAUCCAGAUAAACAAGAGUAGACUGGAUCUAUGAUUGCUCAUCACCUCUGACACUCGUACCUACACCUGCCUGCUCAAAGCUUCAUUUAGGUUUCCCUCUAAUUCUCUUAGAUAUGGACCUUUUUUCUUCCUUUCUUUCAAGGCAACCUGAAGACACUUUGACCAAAAUGCAUGGGAUCCCAAAUUCACUUAUCAUUCUUUGAUGGAUCUCUGAAUAUUUCUCAGGUCUGCAAGGUUUAUGGUGCUUCCGCUUUCCUGAGAAGAUCUGUUUUUUCACUGUGUACCUAUGCCUUGUCUCAUUUUACUCCUCAUUCAUCUGUCAUUUCACUCUUCUGCACAAAAUGUAUUGUUCACCUGUUGAAGCUGCUCAUCAUAGAAAUGCUUUUGUGAACUCCUCUUCCCCCUGCAAUAAACCUCAUCUAUCGGCAUCAAAAUGAUCUGUUGUGGUCCUCCUGUGUUUUACUCAUUUGGGGCAAUCAGGUUUCGAUUCCGGUUGGGUGAGAAUUGCUCGAGAUAGAAGUGAUUUUAGCAAAGAGAGUGUUGAGAGUUCAACACUAAAAUAGUAAAGUCAUAGUGUCUGAUCAUAGUGUAAGGUCCCAAAGUCCAAUUCCAGCAUCCUCUUCAAAAGAAUUAAACAUCUGGGUUGAACUCUCCCUCCUCAGAUAUUAAGACCUGAGCUGAGUUUUGUCGAAUUAUUUCCCCUCAUUGUCAAGGUAUCUCUCAGGACUGUUGUUGAAAUUGGAUCAAGGCAUCACCAUUUCUAGAAAGAGAUUCCCACUGGUAUUCUGUAAGGUGGCGCUCAACGGAUCAAUGUGGUUUGACAUUCUGUUCUAGUAUAGAAUCCAAUUUCAUCUGGAACAUCCUGCAAGUAGGAAUGUCUCACAAAGCAUCAAAGAUGAUUCAACAGAGCAAAGAAUGUGUUAUGGUGUGUGUGACAGAGCUGCUCAAUUUUUUAUUUUUUAAAAAAUCUAUCCAAUAAACAGAGUGCAAUGCAUAA